AUUUGUAUCUUGUUGUCAGAGCAUCUAGGAGGGAUGUUACAGCAACUACAACAACUACCAAUCUAGUUGAAGGCUCUUUCCUCUUAACUGUGGAUGGAGUUUGUUCUUUUUUCACAUUCAUACCAGAGGAGGACUCACCAUGUGCCUAAAAGGAUUUAUGAGUAACCAUGUCAACAUGACACUUCUGAAGACCUGUGUCAUCCUUCUCCUUCUGACUGUGUUGUUCUUUGUACUAAGAAACAUGGACCUGCUGCAGAGGCUUUCUCAGCCACCUCCCCCAUCCUGCGGGCUGCAGUCUUCCUCUCCUUUCCUGU